rnacentral:lncRNA from 1 species
UUAAUGUUAUCACUCUAUUCAAAGGGUUGAAAGAGUAUUGUUUGAAGUUGUGUGGAAUUGAAUAAUUAUAGUUGUGAUAUUUCAUUCAAAAGUUGGAUGAAAAUAGAAAGAAAAAAAAUGACAAUACAUAUUCCUUCUGGAAAAAAAAUUAAAUGAGAAAAGAAAAAGAAAUGAAUGAAGUUUUAGAUAGUCAACUCCCACAGUUUCUUUCAAUUUUCUUUUGAC